AGCAAUAUCUGUGUUAUUCUCUACCGGAAGUUCUGAUUUUCUUUUGAAAUAUCUCACAGUUGUUGUGUACCUGGUUUUGGGACAAGGGCGACAAGUUUCCGGUUCCCUCAACUCCCCAAGGUCAACAAAUGAAGUGGAAAUGGCGCGUAGAGAUCAUGCGAGCAGCUUCCUCGGUGGAUGGCCAGCAGCCCAAUAGAGACAUGACAGAGUAUACACUGAACAUUUUCUGUUCAGUUAUUUCAAGGACAAUUGAAUGAUACAGUAUAUAAUAAUGUAUCCAGUCACUUUGUUGUCAAGAUCACCCCUUGGUACAGGAGAUAAGACUUGGACCUCCUGUUGUGUUGAUGCCAGACGAGUACUGUACAUAAUAGUCUGAUCACCUUCAAGAAAGAUGAAGAGAUCAUUUUGUCGUCUAGUUCCCAUUGCCACCACCAGUGAGGGCCAGAAUGUACAUGAAGAGGUUGACCACAUCCAGGUACAGGUUGAGGGCAGCAAAAACGUACUCCUCGGGGGAGAUGGCCAGCUUAUGGUUGCCGCCCAACAUGAUCUGUGUGUCAAAAACUAAGUAGGCAGAGAAGAGGAGAGCACCCAAGCAGGCAUACAUUAUGUUCAGCACUUUGCUCUGGAAGAUGGCUGCGAAGAUGCCGAACAUGAGUAGUGAGAUGAGCAAGACGAACAGAAGCCCGCUCUUCAUCGUGAAGUCCCACUUUGUCUGCCAAUGUAAGAAGUUUUCAUUUUAAAAUUGCUCAGAUGUAGCUCCCAUCAAUAAUGAUAUCUGAACCUGACUCCUAAGAUUCCAGUAAAUAUGACAAGAGAAUAAAUAAGAGAAGCUGGA